UCCCUACGGGAGGCAGCAGUGGGGGAUAUUGCACAAUGGGGGGAACCCUGAUGCAGCGACGCCGCGUGGGCGAUGGAGUACUUCGGUAUGUAGAGCCCUAUCAGCAGGGAAGAAAAUGACGGUACCUGACUAAGAAGCCCCGGCUAAAUACGUGCCAGCAGCCGCGGUAAUACGUAUGGGGCAAGCGUUAUCCGGAUUUACUGGGUGUAAAGGGGGCGCAGACGGCGAUGCAAGCCAGGAGUGAAAGCCCGGGGCCCAACCCCAGGACUGCUCUUGGAACUGCGUGGCUGGAGUGCAGGAGGGGG
rnacentral:rRNA from 1 species